CAAGAAUAAAACAAGUCAACUUCAAAGUAGCAGAAGUAAGAAAAGAGAAAGAGACAAAAUGGCGAAGAGUUUGUGCAUCGUUACUCUUUUGAUGAUUUUUCUAUUGAUUUCUACAGGGAUACCGAAAGGAGAAGCUCAAUGUAUGGGAGAACGAAGCUUCACAUCACCCCCAGGGAUCUGCAGUCUACAGAUUGGAAGCACUGUUUGCAACAAUGCUUGCAUUACUGAAGAAUAUUUCCGCGGCGAAUGUGAAACUCAGGACGCAAGAACAAUUUGUAAUUGUUACCAUUGCCCACCUAGUUAACCCUACGGUUUGUGCUGCUUGGAGAAAAAAUCUGCUCGAUCAGUUGUUGAACUUAUAUUGAUCUGUGUUUGAAUUUCUCUAUGUGUGUGUGUGUGUGUUUUAAUGUUUUGUUGUGAGGUUUGGAAUAAUCGGUUAUAUAGCCGUUCGUUUUGCUUAUUUGGUUUGAAAAAUUAUAUUACCUUU